GAUGAACGCUGGCGGCGUGCCUAAUACAUGCAAGUCGAGCGAACGGACGAGAAGCUUGCUUCUCUGAUGUUAGCGGCGGACGGGUGAGUAACACGUGGAUAACCUACCUAUAAGACUGGGAUAACUUCGGGAAACCGUAGCUAAUACCGGAUAAUAUUUUGAACCGCAUGGUUCAAAAGUGAAAGACGGUCUUGCUGUCACUUAUAGAUGGAUCCGCGCUGCAUUAGCUAGUUGGUAAGGUAACGGCUUACCAAGGCAACGAUGCAUAGCCGACCUGAGAGGGUGAUCGGCCACCCUGGAACUGAGACCCGGUCCAGACUCCUACGGGAGGCAGCAGUAGGGAAUCUUCCGCAAUGGGCGAAAGCCUGACGGAGCAACGCCGCGUGAGUGAUGAAGGUCUUCGGGUCGUAAAACUCUGUUAUUAGGGAAGAACAUAUGUGUAAGUAACUGUGCACAUCUUGACGGUACCUAAUCAGAAAGCCACGGCUAACUACGU
rnacentral:rRNA from 1 species